GACGAACGUUUGCGGCGUGCUUAACACAUGCAAGUCGAACGGAAAGGCCCUGCUUUUGUGGGGUGCUCGAGUGGCGAACGGGUGAGUAACACGUGAGUAACCUGCCCUUGACUUUGGGAUAACUUCAGGAAACUGGGGCUAAUACCGGAUAGGAGCUCCUGCUGCAUGGUGGGGGUUGGAAAGUUUCGGCGGUUGGGGAUGGACUCGCGGCUUAUCAGCUUGUUGGUGGGGUAGUGGCUUACCAAGGCUUUGACGGGUAGCCGGCCUGAGAGGGUGACCGGCCACAUUGGGACUGAGAUACGGCCCAGACUCCUACGGGAGGCAGCAGUGGGGAAUAUUGCACAAUGGGCGGAAGCCUGAUGCAGCAACGCCGCGUGCGGGAUGACGGCCUUCGGGUUGUAAACCGCUUUCGCCUGUGACGAAGCGUGAGUGACGGUAAUGGGUAAAGAAGCACCGGCUAACUACGUGCCAGCAGCCGCGGUGAUACGUAGGGUGCGAGCGUUGUCCGGAUUUAUUGGGCGUAAAGGGCUCGUAGGUGGUUGAUCGCGUCGGAAGUGUAAUCUUGGGGCUUAACCCUGAGCGUGCUUUCGAUACGGGUUGACUUGAGGAAGGUAGGGGAGAAUGGAAUUCCUGGUGGAGCGGUGGAAUGCGCAGAUAUCAGAAGGAACACCAGUGGCGAAGGCGGUUCUCUGGGCCUUUCCUGACGCUGAGGAGCGAAAGCGUGGGGAGCGAACAGGCUUAGAUACCCUGGUAGUCCACGCUGUAAACGGUGGGUACUAGGUGUGGGGUCCAUUCCACGGGUUCCGUGCCGUAGCUAACGCUUUAAGUACCCCGCCUGGGGAGUACGGCCGCAAGGCUAAAACUCAAAGGAAUUGACGGGGCCCCGCACAAGCGGCGGAGCAUGCGGAUUAAUUCGAUGCAACGCGUAGAACCUUACCUGGGUUUGACAUGGAUCGGGAGUGCUCAGAGAUGGGUGUGCCUCUUUUGGGGUCGGUUCACAGGUGGUGCAUGGCUGUCGUCAGCUCGUGUCGUGAGAUGUUGGGUUAAGUCCCGCAACGAGCGCAACCCUUGUUCACUGUUGCCAGCACGUUAUGGUGGGGACUCAGUGGAGACCGCCGGGGUCAACUCGGAGGAAGGUGGGGAUGACGUCAAGUCAUCAUGCCCCUUAUGUCCAGGGCUUCACGCAUGCCACAAUGGCUGGUACAGAGAGUGGCGAGCCUGUGAGGGUGAGCGAAUCUCGGAAAGCCGGUCUCAGCUCGGAUUGGGGUCUGCAACUCGACCUCAUGAAGUCGGAGUCGCUAGUAAUCGCAGAUCAGCAACGCUGCGGUGAAUACGUUCCCGGG
rnacentral:rRNA from 1 species